GCUUACGGCCAUACCACCUUAGGCACGCCCGAUCUCGUCUGAUCUCGGAAGCUAAGCAGGAUCGGGCCUGGUUAGUACUUGGAUGGGUGACCGCCUGGGAAUACCAGGUGCUGUAAGCA
ensembl:rRNA 5S_rRNA 5S ribosomal RNA